UACGGAAGGCAGCAGUGGGGAAUAUUGCACAAUGGGCGCAAGCCUGAUGCAGCCAUGCCGCGUGUAUGAAGAAGGCCUUCGGGUUGUAAAGUACUUUCAGCGGGGAGGAAGGCGAUGCGGUUAAUAACCGCGUCGAUUGACGUUACCCGCAGAAGAAGCACCGGCUAACUCCGUGCCAGCAGCCGCGGUAAUACGGAGGGUGCAAGCGUUAAUCGGAAUUACUGGGCGUAAAGCGCACGCAGGCGGUCUGUUAAGUCAGAUGUGAAAUCCCCGGGCUUAACCUGGGAACUGCAUUUUGAAACUGGCAGGCUUGAGUCUUGUAGAGGGGGUUAGAAUUCCAGGUGUAGCGGUGAAAUGCGUAGAGAUCUGGAGGAAUACCGGUGGCGAAGGCGGCCCCUGGGACAAAGACUGACGCUCAGGUGCGAAAGCGUGGGGAGCAAACAGGAUUAGGAUACC
rnacentral:rRNA from 1 species